UACAGAGGGUGCGAGCGUUAAUCGGAAUUACUGGGCGUAAAGCGUGCGUAGACGGCUAUCUAAGUCGGGUGUGAAAGCCCCGGGCUCAACCUGGGAAUUGCAUUCGAGACUGAAUAGCUAGGGUACGGUAGAGGGAAGCGGAAUUUCCGGUGUAGCGGUGAAAUGCGUAGAUAUGGGGAGGAACACCGGUGGCGAAGGCGGCCACCUGGACAGAGACUGACGCUGAGACGCGAAAGCGUGGGUAGCAAACAGG
rnacentral:rRNA from 1 species